rnacentral:rRNA from 1 species
UACCGCGGCUGCUGGCACGGAGUUAGCCGAUCCUUAUUCGUAAGGUACAUGCAAAAAGCCACACGUGGCUCACUUUAUUCCCUUAAAAAAGAAGUUUACAACCCGUAGGGCCGUCAUCCUUCACGCGGCGUCGCUGGGUCAGGGUUCCCCCCAUUGCCCAAUAUUCCCCACUGCUGCCUCCCGUAGGAGUCUGGACCGUAUCUCAGUUCCAGUGUGGCCGAUCACCCUCUCAGACCGGCUACCCGUCUUAGCCUUGGUAGGCCCUUACCCCACCAACCAGCUGAUAGGACGCGAACCCAUCCAUCGGCAGCCACUCCCGUGGCCUUUCACCUUACGGCUUACGCGGUAUUAGCGACCGUUUCCAGCCGUUGUCCCCCUCCGAUGGCCAGGUAUUCACGCGUUACUCACCCGUCCGCCACUAUCCGUACAUAUCCAGCAAGCUUUCAAUAUACAGACCGUCCGACUUGCAUGUGUUAAGCACGCCGCCAGCGUUCGUCCUGAGCCAGGAUCAAACUC